GGACUCCUAGCUCAGCUGGUCAGAGCGCCUCGUUUACACCGAGGAGGUCAGAGGUUCGAACCCUCUGGAGUCCA
rnacentral:tRNA from 1 species